UAUUAAAAAUUCGGUCUAUUUGUAUUAUUAAAAACUGGUGUGGCUGACGGAAUUAUCAGACGGUGACACGAGGCCUGCCAUGUGUACCUCACACUAAAGUACAGAGACCAAAUUUUAAUGGCAGAAAUAGUUAGAAUUUUUAACA
rnacentral:pre_miRNA from 1 species